GGGGGCGUACUGGUUUCGACGGGGGAAAAGAUGGGUUGAGUAGCGAGCCGAGUUGCCGCCAGCUCGUUAAAAAGGUGGAAAACUAAUAACUGCCAACGAUAAUUACGCUUUAGCUGCUUAAUGCAGCUACGUCCGGCUAGCCAGCCCUACGGGUUAGUGCAGGGCGUCAUUUAGUAGGGGUACCCUGAUGGCCCUUCUCUCUGGGGGCGUUAAGGGGAAAUGUCAGGGAUAGCUUGAAGGAAGCCUGUUCGUGGGCGUCCGGAUGGCGAAGCUUAAAACACGAACUGCGCUCGGAGAGACUCGGCUGGUCUUUCUUUCGGACGGGGGUUCGACUCCCCCCGCCUCCACCA
rnacentral:tmRNA from 1 species